rnacentral:rRNA from 1 species
AUCCUACGGGGGGCAGCAGUGGGGAAUAUUGCACGAUGGGGGAAACCCUGAUGCAGCGACGCCGCGUGAAGGAAGAAGUAUUUCGGUAUGUAAACUUCUAUCAGCAGGGAAGAAAAUGACGGUACCUGACUAAGAAGCCCCGGCUAACUACGUGCCAGCAGCCGCGGUAAUACGUAGGGGGCAAGCGUUAUCCGGAUUUACUGGGUGUAAAGGGAGCGUAGGCGGUGAUGCAAGUCAGAAGUGAAAGCCCGCAGCUCAACUGCGGGACUGCUCUUGGAACUGCGUGGCUGGAGUGCAGGAGGGGG